rnacentral:rRNA from 1 species
AUGGUGGAGGGCUCUGAGAGUGAUAUCUCGAACCUCAAGUUCCUCCUAUUGUGCUUCCAGCAGAUGUCCGGCCUUAGGAUCAACUUCGACAAGAGUGAGGUUAUGGUCUUGGGCUACACCCAAGACGAGUGACAGAGUAUAGCGGAUCGGCUUAACUGCCAGCUUUGGUGUUUCCCCACGACUUAUCUGGGGAUACCCAUUAGUGAUGCCAGGCUUACGGUGGCCGAGCUACGCCCCACGGCGGGGAAGCUCCAACACCGGAUCGAGCCCUGGCAGGGUCGGUGGCUCUUGAAAGCGGCCCGUAUGGUGCUCAUUAACUCGUCCCUCUCCAGCCUCCUAUUAUUCAUCAUGAGUUUCUACAGCCUUCCGGAGACUCUUCAUCACGAGAUUGCCACCGUUCAGGGGCGCUUCUUCUGGGCCGGCGAGGGUGAUAAGCAGAAAUACCACAUGGUCAGGUGGUCUAAGAUCUGCAAACCUCGCGACCAGGGCGUCCUUGGGAUCAUGUCCUCCAAACGCAUGAAUAUUGCCCUUCUGACUCGGUGGCUCUGGAGGAUUUGCAACGGAGAUGGUGGCCUGUGGCUAUGCAUUAUUCAGCAGAAAUACCUCCAAGGCUAG